UGGGGAGCAAGAGCACAUGGAGUCAAACAGCAGCCAAAUUUUCUGAUUUUCGAAACGAUUCGCCGGUGUUUUGAGUAUCGCCUUUAGAAAGACAGAAGAAUCGAACAUUUCAAACGAAGAAAGAGAUAUCGCUGGAGAUGUUGUUGUGAGCUUGCAAUCCCAGCUACAAUCUCUCCAAAAUAGAGCCAAGGAAUUAGAGGCUGAGAAUGCCAAGCUAUCAUCUCAACUCUCCAAAUGUUGUUGCCAUAAGACAGAGAAGAUGAGCAAUGGUUCUGAUGUAAAAUGUUUCUAUUCGGGUGUGGCAAGUCAGAGAAAAAAGGACAGAGAUGAUAAGACCAGAAAAAGAAAGCAUUAGAAAGAAUUCCAGCCUGCAGAUGGAUGACAAGGCACGAUCUCCUCUUUGUACCAGCAGCAUCUGGUUAUAAUUUGGAAAUCAUGACUCACAAUUCCAAGAGAUAUGUUGUUCUAAAAGACAUGUAUUUUGGUUUUAUGGUUUUGCUUCAGAAGCACAGAUGGAUCCUACUGUUGAGUCUGAAAUUUUCAAAGCUCUUGGGAAAACAAGGCUUUUAGUUGGUGACAAGAAGGAAUCACACUACUCAAGAUGUGGCAGAACAGAUAAGGGAGUCUCCACUGUUGGCCAAGUAAGUUGAUCACUAGAAGAACCUCUUUUAAAAUAAUCCCUUGAUAGUUUUUGACCUUUCGCAAAUUGGAGAAAUCUGCAAGUAUCUGGGUAGCUGUUACUGAUAGUUUUGAUAUUUGGCAAGACAUGUCCCUCUUUUUUUAAUAUGUGAAUUUGUGUUUCUAUAAAAUCUAUAAAUUAACAAGAUGUCUUUGGUGUUGAGAUUAAGCAGAUGCUUUAUGUGAUAUACCGUUUCAUUUGAGUUUAGUUUAUAUUGAGUUACAUAGAACUGAAAUAGACUUUUCUCUUUAUAUGUUUUCUUGAAGCUUUCUGAAAUAUGAGUCAUUUCUACAAGAAGACCAAAUUUCAAACUUAUAGAACUUCAGAACCACAUUUAAAUAUUUAGAAACUUUUAGUUUGUUGUUUUUAUGAGAUAUUAUGAUCGUACAUGAUUUGACAAUGAGGUUUGCUUGAAUAAUUGCUUUUAGACUUACUGUCAAUUUUGGUACUACUGCUUGAGAAUGUGUAAAUGUCACAAUGAAGUCUUUGCCAGGUAGUUGUGAGCCUUUUUGAUAAGAUGAAAAAUGCCAAUGUGCAAGGCCUACCUUGAUAGAAGUAUGUGCUGACCUGUCAGAAAAGAAAUUUACCCAUAUGUAGUUUCAUUAUUUGAUAUUUAUAACUUUUCCAGCUUCCCUUGAUUAAAUGUGGUUUUUCGGCAAUAUGUUAUUGUAAUAAUUCUAUGCAUUUUUUUGUUUUGCUUCUAGAUACCUGUAGCCUGAAGGUAUUGUGUAAUUGCCCUGUUAUUUUGCUAAAUCACCAUACUUAUAGCAUUGGUUCUCUACCAGAGUGAAUUGACAUUGAUUUUUUUUAAAGAUAACUGGUGCUUUUCUAUUACAUGGUGCACUUCUCUCCAAUGAUAGGAUAUAUGAUGAUAAAAAAAUAGUAAUGAUAUAAGAAGAACAAGCAAUCUAUUCUCUGAGGCAAAAUAAUAGACAAAACAAGGUAGUAACACCUCCGAAAUGUAACAUUUGCAUCUUUUACUCUUUUGAGCAAAUAGUCAAGCAUUGUGAUCCUCGAAGCAUUUUCGUCAUGAAUUCCCAUUAUUGAUUUUAACAUGAUGUGCCUAGCUUACUUUGAAUUAUAUAUGUGCCCUAUUCUUCCACAAAUUGGACAAAUAUUAGAAUAAUUUGCUCAUUAUUUCCAUGUUUAAUGUUUACACUUGCAUCUGGUUUUUGCUGCUCUAUAGCCAUGUAAUCUAACAAUUUGAACCAUGGUUUACCCAUAUAUUUGAAUGUUAAGAAAAUGGAAAAUGUUUGAUGCAGGUGAUUGCAUUAUAUUUAAGGUCAAACCUCAUAGAAGCUAAUGCAAAUAACAAAACUUCAAGAGAAUUAAUUUCAAAGACACGAACUGGCCUGCCAGUUAUUCUGUCCUGAUGACUCUAACUUAGAGCAAAAGCUUCUUCUUUAGAUGUCAUCUGAUGUUGCUGAUUCAUGGCUUUUUCUAGUUCCAAAUCCCUGCAUUCUAUCAUUUUCUAGGUCUUAUUGCAAUUAAACAUGAAAGGACUUAAAUUUUAACUAAUAAAGGUUUAGUUGAUAUAUUUGGUACAUUCAUGGAGAAAGAAAAUGAAAGUUAAAAGGAAAAAGGUAAUUAGAUAAUAUUUAGUAUUUUUAUUUUUUUAUGGUUAUUAAUAUUUUUAAAAAAAUAAUGAGUUUUUCUUGUGUCAAUUUUUUUU